GGAGUAGGUCCCAAGGGUUGGGCUGUUCGCCCAUUAAAGCGGUACGCGAGCUGGGUUCAGACGUCGUGAGACAGUUCGGUCCCUAUCCUCUGCGCGCGUUGGAAAUUUGAGAAGGUCUGUCCUUAGUACGAGAGGACCGGGACGGACGAACCUCUGGUAUGUCAGUUGUACCGCCAGGUGCAUGGCUGAUUAGCUACGUUCGGGAUGGAUAACCGCUGAAAGCAUCUAAGCGGGAAGCCGGCUUCGAGAUGAGAUUUCCUUGCCCCUUUGAGGGUGUGAGGCCCCCAGCUAGAACACUGGUUGAUAGGCUGGAUGUGGAAGCGAGGACUGAAGACUCGUGAAGCUGACCAGUACUAAUAGGCCGAUGACUUACACACA
rnacentral:rRNA from 1 species